CCUUCUCCAUACCAAACCCUAAACCUAGUUGCUAUGUCUCAGCCGCCACCACCUGGUUUCUUUCGUCCUUCGAUCAUCCAUGGCCGCUAACGACUGCCGCCCAGCCAACGUCACCGCCAUCAAUGGGAACCGUCAACCAUCCAGCUCCUUCAUUGCUCCCGUCGCCGGCAAGGAUCACGAGUAGUCACCUCCAUGUUCUGCCAACAAGCUGUGAACCGCAAGGACCGACGACCCACUGCUCCCAUGGACCGGUCGGACCGCAACGUCCUCCUUUGUCUUCUUCUUCUGCCGCUGCUCGGUUGCUGUAGCUGCCAUUCCGGGUGGCUGUUGCGGCUGCCAUUCUUCGCCAAAUGUCUUGCACCACCACGGGUGUGGAUGAGAUCGUGGUACACUUCGGUGCUGAGCUAACAUCGAGCAUGAUCGUGUGGACGUGUGUUACUUGGUUGAGACUCAAGAAAACUCGCGGUGGUGGCUGUCAAUGAAACCACUGCUUGCCGCCACCUCUACUUCCUACUGCCGUGUCAUGACAGCACCAGCCACCGUGGAGCUGGCUGUGAGUUUGUGUGAUCCCACUUUUAAUGUGUGUUAUUUCAUGUAUGUAGUGUUGGUUUGGCCGGAAUUUGCGAGAACAGCCACCUGCACCGUGAGGUGGUGGCUGCCACCAUGUACCACCGUAGAUGGGUGUAUUUUAGUGAGUGUGUGUACAUUUGGUAUUUUCAUUGUAACAUUAUAACCGGAGUUGGAAUAAUGAAAAGAAACCCUAACCACCACCGUGAGGCACCAACCGUCAUGUUGGGUGGUGGUGUGCUUUUGCUUGCGAGUAGCUGAUUUUUGGAUGCUUGCACAAAAUGGACUAGAAACCCUAACCACCACCGUGAGCCGCCGUUGACCACCAUUACCCGAGGUGGUAGUAGGUGGUGCCCAACUAGUGAAAUCCUAAUAGGCCUACUGAACUCUAAUGGAUAUAAGGACUUAAUUUUAGGCCUAUUGGGUUAUGAUGGGUUGGAAACCCUAAUUUUGGAAUUAUGGGCUUGGACUUAUCAGAACCCACAUUUGGGCCAUUGGAAUGAAAUUGUGUAUUAAGCCCAAUCACACCAUAUGAUUUAUUUUAUUAGAGUGAUGGACUUAAUGGAUUAAGUUCUUAAUGGGUUCUCAUUUAACCCUAAUUGUCAUUUUAUGUGAAACCUUAAUUUCAUUUGGGCUUUAUGUUGGGCCUUUUUAUUGGGCUUUGGUGAUUGAGCCAAUAUUAGGCCAUCCAAGAACAAUAAAAUGGACUAGAAUAAUUUAAUGGGCUUUAAGGUAAGGUCCAUGUAAGGGGUUUGGGCCCAAUUUUCCAUAGAUGGGCCAUAGUUUGGGCCUUUAUGAUUAUGAGAUAUUAGACCAUUAGAAAUGCAAAAUGCUUGGACUGUACUAAAUGGUUGGGCCUGUGAUUAAGACCAUGUAAAGGUUUGAGCCCAAUUUGAAAAAUUAGGCCAUAUGUUGGGCUUUGAUUCCUAGUUUGACUUUUGGGCCUUUGGAUUGGGCCUUGGGCUUGAAUCAAGCCAAGAUGGGGGUAAUGUAGCCUGUUACUCCAAGAACUUAUGGUUAUGUGUCGGGACCCAAUCAUCAAUUGGGUGUUAUUUUGAUAUUGACAGUUCGGGAAGUUGUCAUCCAGCAGCCAAGGUUUCAUUUGCGGGACUUCAGCAGUGUGAGGUGAGUUACCUUCCAGUAGAAGUGGGUCUAAGGCUACAAUGUCGACUCACUAGUAGAAGUUGUUUAUUAGAUGAUUGUCUUUGUGAUAAUUAUCUGGUAUGCCAUUAUCGGUUAUGUUUGUGUGCUAGGAUGCUCUGUGAUACAUGUUAUUAGUAGUAGGGGUGAAAUAGUCCCCGAUUACCGGUUGAAAGAUGCUGAAGGGGAGGUCAGCUCCCAGAUACCGAUUUGAAGAUACCGAAGGGGUAGGUCCGGCACCCAGAUUUGCCUGACAUUAUGUUUAUGUAUGUUAUGCUAUGUUAUUAUGUGGUAGUGGUAGGGGUGAAAUAGUCCCCGUUAUCCGGUUGAAACAAACUGAAGGGGAGACCAACACCCAGAUAUGCUAGGCAGUUAUCCGGUUGGAAUAGACCGAAGGGGAGGCCGACACCCAGAUAUGCUUGGCUAUGUACUUCGUUUUCAAAGGAAAGGAGCCGGCUCGAUUGCAGCGCAUCACACUAUGUUUUUCCGCACAUGAGAUCUUGGGGAUUACACUCUGAUAUUAUUUUAUGAUAACAUGUUUGACUAUUGAAACUUUGGUUUUGACAUGAGAUGUUAUUAUGGAUGUUUUUAUACUUAUGGUUUUAUAAUAACUUAUUUAAAAAUGAAAAUUUUGGCCUGUA